UGGGGAAUUUUGGACAAUGGGCGAAAGCCUGAUCCAGCAAUGCCGCGUGUGUGAAGAAGGCCUUCGGGUUGUAAAGCACUUUUGUCCGGAAAGAAAUCCUUGGCUCUAAUACAGUCGGGGGAUGACGGUACCGGAAGAAUAAGCACCGGCUAACUACGUGCCAGCAGCCGCGGUAAUACGUAGGGUGCAAGCGUUAAUCGGAAUUACUGGGCGUAAAGCGUGCGCAGGCGGUUUGCUAAGACCGAUGUGAAAUCCCCGGGCUCAACCUGGGAACUGCAUUGGUGACUGGCAGGCUAGAGUAUGGCAGAGGGGGGUAGAAUUCCACGUGUAGCAGUGAAAUGCGUAGAGAUGUGGAGGAAUACCGAUGGCGAAGGCAGCCCCCUGGGCCAAUACUGACGCUCAUGCACGAAAAGCGUGGGGAGCAAAACAGGAUUAGAUACCCUGGUAGUCCACGCCCUAAACGAUGUCAACUAGUUGUUGGGGAUUCAUUUCCUUAGUAACGUAGCUAACGCGUGAAGUUGACCGCCUGGGGAGUACGGUCG
rnacentral:rRNA from 1 species